rnacentral:rRNA from 1 species
UACGGAGGGUGCAAGCGUUAUCCGGAAUUACUGGGCUUAAAGGGUGCGUGGGCGGCUUGCUAAGUCAGGGGUGAAAGCCUAGCGCUUAACGCUAGAAUUGCAUUUGAUACUGUAAAGCUUGAACGGGGUAGAGGUCAGCAGAAUGCCUAGUGUAGCGGUGAAAUGCAUAGAUAUGCGGAAGAACACCGGUUGCGAAGGCGGCUGGCUGGGCCUACUUUGACGCUGAGGCACGAAAGCGUGGGGAGCGAACAGG